AGUGAACGCUGGCGGUAGACCUAACACAUGCAAGUCGAACGGCAGCACAGUAAGAGCUUGCUCUUACGGGUGGCGAGUGGCGGACGGGUGAGGAAUACAUCGGAAUCUACUUUUUCGUGGGGGAUAACGUAGGGAAACUUACGCUAAUACCGCAUACGACCUACGGGUGAAAGCAGGGGAUCUUCGGACCUUGCGCGAUUGAAUGAGCCGAUGUCGGAUUAGCUAGUUGGCGGGGUAAAGGCCCACCAAGGCGACGAUCCGUAGCUGGUCUGAGAGGAUGAUCAGCCACACUGGAACUGAGACACGGUCCAGACUCCUACGGGAGGCAGCAGUGGGGAAUAUUGGACAAUGGGCGCAAGCCUGAUCCAGCCAUACCGCGUGGGUGAAGAAGGCCUUCGGGUUGUAAAGCCCUUUUGUUGGGAAAGAAAAGCAGCAGGUUAAUACCCCGCUGUUCUGGCGGUACCCAAAGAAUAAGCACCGGCUAACUUCGUG
rnacentral:rRNA from 1 species